GCAACCUGGGAGUGUGUGAGAGAGAAGCAGUGGCAGAUCUUGGCAGUUAAGAGCACGGGUUCCCAUGAGUUCUGGAUUUGAAUCCUGGCUGACCACUUGUGAGCUCUACAAUCUCAGGGCAAAGCCCUCCUGUUCCCAGCCCCAAGUCGGUUAAACCCAUGUUAAAUCUAUAGGUUGAAGACCUGGAUCAUUCGAAGCCCAGAGCCUUGCACAGCAGCGAUCUGCUCCAACAGAGGGUGAUGUCAUCAUCCGAGGCCACACAAAUAAUGCAUUUCUCACCAUCAAAAAGCUUCUGAAGCCAUGUUCUCAAAGGCAAAAAAUAAAUAAAUAAAUAACCAAUUAACUACACCAGUGUAAGGGUGAAACAAGUUCUUAUCUGAUAAAACUGACUUAUAAACACAGGUUAUCUCUUCCCCCUUUGAAACAGCCUCACUGUAUUUAAAUGAAAUGCGCUACAAUUUGGAAAAAUG
rnacentral:lncRNA from 1 species